rnacentral:rRNA from 1 species
GUCCAUGCAGUAAAACGAUGUUCACUAGGUGUCGACUCCUUUAUUGGGGCCGGUGCCGCAGCUAACGCAUUAAGUGAACCACCUGGGGAGUACAGUCGCAAGGCUGAAACUCAAAGGAAUUGACGGGGACCCGCACAAACGGUGGAGCAUGUGGUUUAAUACGACGAUACGCGUGGAACCUUACCCAGGCUUGACAUGCACGGGAAGCCUUAUGAAAGUAGGGCCCUCCCUCAAGGACUCGUGCACAGGUGUUGCAUGGCUGUCGU